rnacentral:piRNA from 1 species
UGUCAGUAAUGAAUAAUCACA